CAAAUCUAGAGUACGUUCGACCCUGCUGAUAUGGGAUACUUUUGCUGUUGACAAAGUAGUGGAUGUAUCGGUACGUGUUCUGUUGCGCUUGUCUCCAUAUGCUUCCUUGUAACCUUCUCACUUGCCCUAUUUGGUCCUCAGGCAGAUGUGGUAUCUUCUCGGGAAGCAUAAGAUGUUGAAGAUGAGUACUCGAGAGCAAUGCCAAGUAAGUAAUCAGGUAAGGGGUUCCAGGCAGUCAGUUCCGGACUGGAAGCUUGAUUCCAAAUGCUGACUGAUUGCUCUCUUUCUCCUUGUCUUGCAGGUAAGUGAUGCGAAUAAUAUAAGCACACAAAUUAAACCCUCUUUUGACAAUUGUAGCAAAGUAUGUAAGUAGGGAUCGUUCUAAACCGGGGAUUAGGAGGGCUUGCUAAAACCUCUAAACUGACUAAAAAAAAACAAAAAGAAACAAAGUUAAAAUGUAAACAAAAGACUUUUUAAAAUAAGAAAGUAAAAGGGGGAUUUGGGUUUGGUGAAGUUGAAAGUAAAACAAAUAAACUAAAACUUAAAUAGAUUUUUAGCUAGGCAGAUUAUAAAACGAAUUUGAGAAAUAAGAUGAUGGAUGGAUUAGUUAGAGGUCCGUUCUUCACACAUGACACACUUGUACAUGAAUCGAUUUCCAAUUGCUUUUCAAUAAACUAUGAUGCUCAACACUCCAGAUUGACCGUGAUGCACAAAUUAACCCUCAGAUUUUCCUUUACUUAUUGAAUUGGAUGAAUGCAUGCGACAAUCCAAAUUAUUCUCUAAAAGUCCCCUAUAUGAAUGCAUAAUAGAGAUACAAUCAGAGAUCAUUACGUUCAAUGAAAAUCAUAAGUGUUGACGAGGCAAUUGUAACUAUGAAUGCAUGAUACGUUUGCC
rnacentral:lncRNA from 1 species